ACAUAGCCUAUAAGAGGUUAGG
rnacentral:miRNA from 1 species